rnacentral:lncRNA from 12 species
AUGGUUAUUUGGAAACCUCUUACAAAUCUUAGGAUGGCUAGCAACAGCCAGCCUUGUGUCUUCAAAAACUGCUGCGUGUUGCCAAUGCAAAAGCCUGUGGAGUUACAAAACACAGACCAUGAGAAUAAAGUGAUUUUCAGCUCAUUAAAAAGGAUGCAGCAAAAUCACAAACAUUUGUAA